rnacentral:rRNA from 1 species
GGGGUGCUCGAGUGGCGAACGGGUGAGUAACACGUGAGUAACCUGCCCUUGACUUUGGGAUAACUUCAGGAAACUGGGGCUAAUACCGGAUAGGAGCUCCUGCUGCAUGGUGGGGGUCGGAAAGUUUCGGCGGUUGGGGAUGGACUCGCGGCUUAUCAGCUUGUUGGUGGGGUAGUGGCUUACCAAGGCUUUGACGGGUAGCCGGCCUGAGAGGGUGACCGGCCACAUUGGGACUGAGAUACGGCCCAG